CGUAAGGUGGAGCAUCUAGAAGGGUGAUCGAGGAGGGAGAACACAACCCUGACUGGACCUUGGAACACACCACAGCUGGGGAAGCUCUCAUUGGUUCUGCUACCUCUUCUCUUACACGUCAGCCCAGAAAAUGCGGCUAACCAGAAUCCUGAAGCAGCUGGGCGUGAAAGGAGUUUGCUUGAUAUGAGAAGCAAGUGGGUCUGAGCCAGCCACAAUUCUCAGCCUUGGCUCCUCCAGCUCCCUCCGACUUCAAAAGAAACUCUGAAUGAAGAAGGAGGGCACACAAUAGAAGAAUUGGUCUGAUUAUCCCCCUCUGUUUGGAAAUGGGAUGGCUGUCCACAGAAGUGAAUCGAUACAAUUUGAACUACUGAGUGAAAACAACAACAAAAACAAAAUCCUUACUGGACCAAUCAACUUCCAGCUGUGUCUUAUUAGGCUUUCAAAAUAUUUGGGAUUGUCUGAACUACAAAAGAAUUAUAUGUGAUUAUGAAUGAAUUUCAUCCAGGUUGGUUUGCUGUUCAGAUGCCUUUAAUAAAGACUCCAUUUCCUUACAAGAGUCUAGAUAGACCACACCGUUCUGUAUUAACCAGACAUACCUUAUGGCAAUAAUAACAGUUGGAGAUUUGACCUGAAGAAUGCUUCAGUUUGAACUAUUUCUGCUCACGAAUAGAGAAGAUUGCAGGUAAAUAAUGUGAAGUAAUUUUCACUACUAAAAUAGUUUAGAAAUAUAUAACAGAGGUUUGUUUUUUUUUAAUGAAUUGAAUUAUCUAGUAAGCCCCAAGCUUUAGUGGUUUGUCAGUUUUUAGCCAGUUUUUAGGUCUGACUUACCAAUGCCCCAAGAAAACAGAACAAGAAACUUGAAUGCAAACCUUUCAACCAGGUAACUCUAUAGUUUAUGAGUGGCAAUGAAUGACAUUUCCUCAGGAAAAUCUUGGAAAUUACCAGUGUUGCACGUCUUAUUAAUCCGUGUUUAACCUGAAGCCUAGAAACUAGUGCCCCUUUCUUCCUGUCUUCAAAAUUUCUAUUACCAACUGUACUAUGUUGAAGUUUAUAUGACAGGCCAUUUCAACACUUUUGUUUAGUUAAAUGGAAGUGCAUCACUUUUAAAGAAAAGCCCUAUUGCCAAAAAAUAUAAACAGCCCUAACUUUGAUUAAUAUAAAUAUUUAAAAACCAG